rnacentral:rRNA from 16 species
GGUUGACCUCGGAUCAGGUAGGGAUACC